AUAACCGCAGAAAGCGCCCCCGCGGAACCGCGGCCGCUGCAGAGGUUGAACCCGGCUCAGAACGAACGCUGGCGGCGCGUUUUAAGCAAGCAAGUCAAAGGGGCUAUUUAUAGCGAUAUAGAUAGCAACCGGCGCACGGGUGAGUAAUAUGGGAGAAUCUACCCCAAGUGCUUGGAUAGUAAGCAGUAAUGUAUAGGAAUACCGGUUAUGCCUAGAGGGGAAUAGGUCAACUGAGCUGCCCUAGGAUGAGCUUGCAAUCCUUUAGCUAGGGGGGAGGGUAAGUGCCUACCAAGGCGACGAUGGGUAGCCUUCCUUUAGAUGGGAACGGCCACUAUUGGUAACUGAGACACGGUCCAGAUUUCUACGUGAGGCAGUAGCUUAGAAUCUUCCGCAAUGGGAGGAAUCCCGACGGAGCGUCGCCGCGUGAACGUUGAAGGCAGAAAUGUUGUAAAGAUCUUUUGGAUGGGAAGAAU
rnacentral:rRNA from 1 species